rnacentral:misc_RNA from 1 species
AACUUUUGGCAACGGAUCACUUGGUUCUGGCAACGAUGAAGAACGCAGCGAAAUGCGAUAAGUAAUGUGAAUUGCAGAAUUCAGUGAAUCAUCGAAUCUUUGAACGCACAUUGCGCCCCCUGGUAUUCCGGGGGGCACACCUGUUCGAGCGCCAUUUCUACCCUGGAGCCCUGCUCUGUGAUGGGCCCCGUCCUCGCGGACGGGCCCGAAACCCGUGGGCGCCGUCGUCCGGCCCUGAGCGUAGCAAGAGAAAUCCCUCGCUCGGAGUGUCUGUCGGUGGCCGCCCCGAACCACUUUUACAAGGUUGGCCUCGGAUCAGGUGGGGAUACCCGCUGAACUUAAGCAUAUCAAUAAGCGGAGGCU